CCGAACCAGGCGAGAGGGAGAGAGCCAGGUCCAGCCAAGAGGCGAGCCUCUCUGGGCUGAGCGGGAUGCACUCCCACGGAACAGACACCAGUACAACCUACACCCAUUUUACCAAUAAGAAAACCGACAUGCAUAGUUUCAAUCGUUACCAUCAUACUGCUAGUAAGUAUCAGAACUGACAUUCAAGACCCAGAUCCACCCACACCACAAGCACAGGAUUAUCUCUGACGGAAUGCAGCUGACCACCAUUCAGGAGACUCAAGAAAGCUGCAAGAGAACAAGAGGGGCAGCCGGCCAUUCCAGCCCAAAGCCACGUUCCACUAGAAGCCCACAAGGCAUGGUUAUGGAAGCCCCUGGCAUUGUAACAACACUGCCCACAUUUUGUUAUGUGGGUGGUCAGAGAAGUGUAAGGGUGAAAGGAUCACAUGGGAACUAGCCACUAUAAGUGCAGGGUCGGUACAAAUUCAGAGAAAACGAAGUUCACUGUAGAAGAAAGCGCAGAAGUACAGUUAAGUGGUGUGGCUAAGAGGAGACAGAAAUUGAGGCAGAACAUAAAAGAUUUCCAAGGGCUGGCAAGAUGGUUCAGUGGGUAAGAGCACUGACU